UACGAAGGGGGCUAGCGUUGCUCGGAAUCACUGGGCGUAAAGCGCACGUAGGCGGAUUGCUAAGUCAGCGGUGAAAUCCUGGAGCUCAACUCCAGAACUGCCUUUGAUACUGGCGAUCUCGAGUUCGGGAGAGGUGAGUGGAACUGCGAGUGUAGAGGUGAAAUUCGUAGAUAUUCGCAAGAACACCAGUGGCGAAGGCGGCUCGCUGGCCCGAUACUGACGCUGAGGUGCGAAAGCGUGGGGAGCAAACAGG
rnacentral:rRNA from 1 species